AUACGGAGGGUGCAAGCGUUGUUCGGAAUCACUGGGCGUAAAGCGCGUGUAGGCGGCUUGGCAAGUCGAAUGUGAAAGCCCGGGGCCCAACCCCGGAAUUGCAUUCGAAACUGCUUGGCUAGAGUCUCGGAGAGGAAGGCAGAAUUCCCGGUGUAGGGGUGAAAUCCGUAGAUAUCGGGAGGAAUACCAGUGGCGAAGGCGGCUCACUGGACAGGUAUUGACGCUAAGGUGCGAAAGCGUGCGGAGCAAACAGGAUUAGAUACCCCGGUAGUCC
rnacentral:rRNA from 1 species